rnacentral:rRNA from 1 species
AGUGAACGCUGGCGGUAGGCCUAACACAUGCAAGUCGAACGGCAGCACAGUAAGAGCUUGCUCUUACGGGUGUCGAGUGGCGGACGGGUGCGUAAUACAUCGGAAUCUACUUUUUCGUGGGGGAUAACGUAGGGAAACUUACGCUAAUACCGCAUACGACCUACGUGUGAAAGCAGGGGAUCUUCUGACCUUGCGCGAUUGAAUGAGCCGAUGUCGGAUUAGCUAGUUGGCGGGGUAAAGGCCCACCAAGGCGACGAUCCGUAGAUGGUCUGAGAGGAUGAUCAGACACACUGGAACUGAGACACGGUACAGACUCCUACGGGAGGCAGCAGUGGGGAAUAUUGGACAAUGGGCGCAAGCCUGAUACAGCCAUACCGCGUGGGUGAAGAAGGACUUCGGGUUGUAAAGCCCUUUUGUUGGGAAAGAAAAGCAGCAGGUUAAUACCCCGCUGUUCUGACGGUACCCAAAGAAUAAGCACCGGCUAACUUCGUG